rnacentral:rRNA from 1 species
GUAGGUGGCAAGCGUUGUCCGGAAUUAUUGGGCGUAAAGCGCGCGCAGGCGGUUCUUUAAGUCUGAUGUGAAAGCCCACGGCUCAACCGUGGAGGGUCAUUGGAAACUGGAGAACUUGGGUACAGAAGAGGAAAGCGGAAUUCCACGUGUAGCGGUGAAAUGCGUAGAGAUGUGGAGGAACACCAGUGGCGAAGGCGGCUUUCUGGUCUGUAACUGACGCUGAGGCGCGAAAGCGUGGGGAGCAAACAGGAUUAGAUACCCUGGUAGUCCACGCCGUAAACGAUGAGUGCUAAGUGUUAGGGGGGUUUUCCGCCCCCCUUAGUGCUGCAGCUAACGCAUUAAGCACUCCGCCUGGGAGUACGGCCGCAAGGCUG